AUUGAACGCUGGCGGAAUGCUUUACACAUGCAAGUCGAGCGGCAGCGCGGGGCAACCUGGCGGCGAGCGGCGAACGGGUGAGUAAUGCAUCGGAACGUGCCCAGACGUGGGGGAUAACUACUCGAAAGAGUGGCUAAUACCGCAUACGAUCUAAGGAUGAAAGCGGGGGAUCGCAAGACCUCGCGCGUUUGGAGCGGCCGAUGGCAGAUUAGGUAGUUGGUGGGGUAAAAGGCUUACCAAGCCCGCGAUCUGUAGCUGGUCUGAGAGGAUGAUCAGCCACACUGGGACUGAGACACGGCCCAGACUCCUACGGGAGGCAGCAGUGGGGAAUUUUGGACAAUGGGCGAAAGCCUGAUCCAGCCAUUCCGCGUGCAGGAUGAAGGCCCUCGGGUUGUAAACUGCUUUGUACAGAACGAAAAAGCUCUUUCUAAUACAGAGAGUCCAUGACGGUACUGUAAGAAUAAGCACCGGCUAACUAACGUGCCAGCAGCCGCGG
rnacentral:rRNA from 1 species